rnacentral:rRNA from 1 species
UGCGUAGGGGGCAAGCGUUGUCCGGAUUCAUUGGGCGUAAAGAGCGUGUAGGCGGCCAGGUAGGUCGGUUGUGAAAACUGGAGGCUCAACCUUCAGAGGUCGACCGAAACCAUCUGGCUAGAGUCCGGGAGAGGAGAGUGGAAUUCCUGGUGUAGCGGUGAAAUGCGCAGAUAUCAGGAAGAACACCCGUGGCGAAAGCGGCUCUCUGGAACGGUACUGACGCUGAGACGCGAAAGCUAGGGGAGCGAACGGG